UUAAAUCCAGCGGGUCCUCC
rnacentral:misc_RNA from 1 species